rnacentral:rRNA from 1 species
GACGAACGCUGGCGGCGUGCUUAACACAUGCAAGUCGAACGGAAAGGCCCUGCUUUUGUGGGGUGCUCGAGUGGCGAACGGGUGAGUAACACGUGAGUAACCUGCCCUUGACUUUGGGAUAACUUCAGGAAACUGGGGCUACUACCGGAUAGGAGCUCCUGCUGCAUGGUGGGGGUUGGAAAGUUUCGGCGGUUGGGGAUGGACUCGCGGCUUAUCAGCUUGUUGGUGGGGUAGUGGCUUACCAAGGCUUUGACGGGUAGCCGGCCUGAGAGGGUGACCGGCCACAUUGGGACUGAGAUACGGCCCAGACUCCUACGGGAGGCAGCAGUGGGGAAUAUUGCACAAUGGGCGGAAGCCGGAUGCAGCAACGCCGCGUGCGGGAUGACGGCCUUCGGGUUGUAAACCGCUUUCGCCUGUGACGAAGCGUGAGUGACGGUAAUGGGUAAAGAAGCACCGGCUAACUACGUG